rnacentral:rRNA from 1 species
GACGAAGGAUGCAAGCGUUAUCCGGAUUCAUUGGGUUUAAAGGGAGCGUAGGUGGCCUUAUAAGUCAGUGGUGAAAUCUCUGGGCUUAACCCAGAAAUUGCCAUUGAUACUGUAGGGCUUGAGUAUAGUUGCCGUUGGCGGAAUAUGACAUGUAGUGGUGAAAUACGUAGAGAUUGGGAAGAACACCAGUGGCGAAGGCGGCUAUCUGGACGGCUUCUGACGCUAAGACGCGAAAGCGUGGGGAGCAAACAGG